AUCGCAGUCUUGAUAAAUUAAAGAUAAAGAAAAAGAAGAAGAAUUUGACGCAACAAUAACCAUCACUACGCUGUAAAUAUCUGAUUUGUGGUACCGUGCAAUCCGUACUUGCUUCUCAACUAUCGAACACACAUCAACAUUGAAGCAUGCACUUUUACAGGUCAAUGGAUUGGAAGGAUUGAAAGGUUCCAUCGACUGACCUGCAAGAUCCCCGGACCUGAUUCCACUGGAGUUCUUUUGUGGGAUCAUUUAAAGAAUAAAAUUGACGCUCACAACACAAUUUUUUACAAGAUUUAAAACAAUUUUGUUAAUAUUUACUUAGACUCACAGUCACAGAAAUUUUCUUGUAUCUGUCAAUUUAAGAACAGGUAUAAAAUGGAAAUGAAGAAAAUUGCAGAAGUUUGCUAGUUUCAACGCAGACGAAACGCCGAAAAGGUGAAGUUAACGACGAUUUUUCGAUGGUGUAGUUAUUAAAAGGGGUGAUGAACAAGCGGAUCUUGUCUGAAGACCUUGAUGUUUUUUAAAGGAGUUUUUUAAAGGAUUAUGAAAUCGAAACUUACGAUGAAAAACAUUGUUUUGAAACUUACUUCAUAGCGUAGUAUCAGUUAUUUUUUUAGUCCUAACGAUGAAACCACUCUGAUCCUGCUGAGGACUCAACAUUACCGUAAAUGUUGGAUUUACGUGACAAUAUUAGAGAUGAAUGUAACGAUACAUAAUAAAAAAACUGAAAUUUUAACUUUAUACAUACUUGCCAAUUGCCAAUGCCAUUUGAAACUUCUUUCGCAUACAGGGUGAAUUA